GUACACACCGCCCGUCACACCACGAGAGCUGUCUGUACCCAAAGACGUUUUAGCUAACCUGUUAAAGGAGGCGAGCGUUUAAGGUAUGGGGAGUGAUUGGGACUAAGUCGUAACAAGGUAACCGUAGGUGAACCUGCAGAAGGAUCA
rnacentral:rRNA from 1 species